GAGGGGAAGGACGAGAGUUGUCGCUGGCCUUUCGCGAGGCAUGUGCACGCUUUCUUCUGGACUUUCGCCGUAUGGGCGCGGGGCCACCCGCGUCUUCAUGCACCUCUUCGUGUAGAAAGUCUUUGAAUGUUAUACCAUCAUCGAGUCGCGACUUCUAGGAGACGCGAUUCUUUGAGACAAAAGUUAUUACAACUUUCAGCAACGGAUCUCUUGGCUCUCGCAUCGAUGAAGAACGCAGCGAAUCGCGAUAUGUAAUGUGAAUUGCAGAUCUACAGUGAAUCAUCGAAUCUUUGAACGCACCUUGCGCUCCUCGGUGUUCCGAGGAGCAUGCCUGUUCGAGUGUCAGUAAAUUCUCAACCCCUCUCGAUUUGUUUCGAGCGGACGUUUGGAUAGUGGGGGCUGCCGGAGACCUGGAUUUAUUUCAGGACUCGGGCUCUCCUGAAAUGCAUCGGCUUGCGGUCGACUUUCGACUUUGCANGACAAGGCCUUCGGCGUGAUAAUGAUCGUCGUCGGCCGAAGUGCACGAAUGAACCGUCCCGCGCCUCUAAUACGUCGACGCUUUCUGGCGUCUUCCUUAUU
rnacentral:rRNA from 1 species